UACAGAGGGUGCAAGCGUUGUUCGGAAUUAUUGGGCGUAAAGCGCGUGUAGGCGGCUUUGCAAGUCGGAAGUGAAAGCCCUCGGCUCAACCAAGGAAGUGCUUUCGAAACUGCUGAGCUUGAGUACUUAAGAGGAUCGCGGAAUUCCCGGUGUAGAGGUGAAAUUCGUAGAUAUCGGGAGGAACACCAGUGGCGAAGGCGGCGAUCUGGGAAGAUACUGACGCUGAGGUGCGAAAGCGGUGGGGAGCAAACAGG
rnacentral:rRNA from 1 species